rnacentral:rRNA from 1 species
UAGUUUUAAGACUAGCGUAAGAUCAUGAUCAACUGGAGGUAGAGCUACUGAAUGUAUGAUGGCGCCGCCUUGGUGUACUGAAUACAAUUAAACUCCGAAUGCUAAUUGAUUUAUUCUUGCAGUCAGACAGUGGGGGAUAAGCUUCAUUGUCACAAGGGGAAGAGCCCAGAUCAUUAAAUAAGGUCCCUAAAAUAUGCUAAGUGGAAAAGGUU